AUGAACUCGUGUGCGAUCGGGCGAGACAUCGAAAUCCAAUCAUUUCCAUUCGUAUGUAUAUCACACACAAUCAAUCCAAGGAAUAUGUUUCCGUUCUUAUGUACAUCCCACACAGUCAAUCCAGGGAAAACGUUUCCGUUCGUAUGUACAUCCCACACAGUCAAUCCAGGGAAAACGUUUUCGUUCGUAUGUACAUCCCACACAGUUUUAUGUGUAGGCUCGUGUGUGAAAGGUGUAACUAUCACACACGCUAUGCCUUGGUUAACUAUUUGCUUUUAUCAACUACAUCACACACGAUUUGAUGAAAAAAACUGUGUGGCAUUGGGCAUCACAAGCGCUUUUACUGCUAGAACCGUUUGCAAAGUUCCAUGA
rnacentral:rRNA from 1 species